AACGCGAAGAACCUUACCUGGUCUUGACAUCCCAUUGACUGGUCCGUAACGGGACCUUCCCUCCGGGGCAAUGGAGACAGGUGGUGCAUGGUUGUCGUCAGCUCGUGUCGUGAGAUGUUGGGUUAAGUCCCGCAACGAGCGCAACCCCUAUCCUUAGUAGCCAGCAGUUCGGCUGGGCACUCUAGGGAGACUGCCAGGGAUAACCUGGAGGAAGGCGGGGAUGACGUCAAAUCAUCAUGCCCCUUAUGAUCUGGGCUACACACGUGCUACAAUGGUGACUACAAAGGGAAGCAGCCCUGUGAAGGUGAGCAAAUCCCAAAAAGGUCAUCCCAGCUCGGAUUGUAGUCUGCAACUCGACUACAUGAAGCUGGAAUCGCUAGUAAUCGCGAAUCAGAAUGUCGCGGUGAAUACGUUCCCGGGUCUUGUACACACCG
rnacentral:rRNA from 1 species